UAGGGAAUCUUCCGCAAUGGACGAAAGUCUGACGGAGCAACGCCGCGUGAGUGAAGAAGGAUUUCGGUUCGUAAAACUCUGUUGUUAGGGAAGAAAAAAUGUAUAGUAACUAUAUACAAAAGAGACGGUACCUAACCAGAAAGCCACGGCUAACUACGUGCCAGCAGCCGCGGUAAUACGUAGGUGGCAAGCGUUGUCCGGAAUUAUUGGGCGUAAAGCGCGCGCAGGUGGUUUAGAAAGUCUGAUGUGAAAGCCCACGGCUCAACCGUGGAGGGUCAUUGGAAACUAAUAAACUGGAGUGCAGGAGAGAAAAGUGGAAUUCCUAGUGUAGCGGUGAAAUGGGUAGAGAUUAGGAGGAACACCGGUGGCGAAAGCGGCUUUUUGGCCUGCAACUGACACUGAGGCGCGAAAGCGUGGGGAGCAAACAGG
rnacentral:rRNA from 1 species